rnacentral:rRNA from 1 species
AUACGGAGGGUGCAAGCGUUACUCGGAAUCACUGGGCGUAAAGGACGCGUAGGCGGGAUGGUAAGUCUGAUGUGAAAUCCUACAGCUUAACUGUAGAACUGCAUUGGAAACUACUAACCUAGAGUAUGGGAGGGGGAGAUGGAAUUAGUGGUGUAGGGGUAAAAUCCGUAGAUAUCACUAGGAAUACCUAAAGCGAAGGCGAUCUCCUGGAACAAUACUGACGCUAAGGCGUGAAAGCGUGGGGAGCAAACGGGAUUAGAAACCCUAGUAGUCC